GAAAGACUUGGUUUUUAAGUUUGUCCGCUUGUGACUCACCUCUCUUUCCUGGGAGUUUACUUGGUUUGCUUUUCAAUUAAAAAAAAAAAAGUUUGCUCUGAGGCGUCUUAUAGGUGUUGGUGUCCAUUACAUAUCUUCCCCUGUUUUCAAUUCUAAAAUGGAACGGAAAUUAGCAAAACAAAUUUACAAUUAUGAUAAUUAUUGUGAGCCAUAUUUGCAGCAAUCUUCACUGUUUUAUAAGCAGCUUUUACAACAAUGUGAACCCUACUUUCAACAGCCUCAAAAUUAUAAUUCAUAUUAUCAACAAUGUGAGCAGCCUUUGCAGCAAUGUGAACCCUACUUUCAAUUGCCUCAACAUUAUAAUUCAUAUUAUCAGCAAUAUGAACAACCUCUGCAGCAAUGUGAACCUCACUUUCAGCAGCCUCAACGUUAUAAUUCAUAUUGUCAACCGUCUUAUGAGCAACCUCAACAGCAAC
rnacentral:lncRNA from 1 species